rnacentral:tRNA from 1 species
GGUCUCAUAGCUCAGCGGGAGAGCACUCGCCUCACACGCGAGGGGUCGCUGGUUCGAUCCCAGCUGGGACCACCA